CACUCCAGUGGCAGGGUGCCACUUCUGUUGCUCCAAUAAACUGCAACCAAGAACUAAAAUCUUUGACAGUGCAACCAACCAUGCAAUUCAUCAAGCAGCCUCCAAGGCUUGAAAUAGUGAGAAACCCUCAUCACUUGAAGCCUGAUCUUUUAGAGAUUCAGAGGCAGACCUUUAACAAAGAUCAUUACUGAAGCUGCGCUCCACCAGUACUUGGGCUGGAAGUGUUCACAGGGCUGCCCCUGAAUUUGUGCUUGAACCCCGAAGCCAGGGAACUUUUCUCCUGGUCCUCUUCCUCUCCCUUUUCUCUUCCCCACCUGUUGUCUCACUCCUGCUCCAAGCACUCCCUAGUCAUGUCAGCCCUGAGGACCCCGCAGAGAGGUGGUUCAGAGA